GACGAACGCUGGCGGCGUGCUUAACACAUGCAAGUCGAACGGAAAGGCCCUGCUUUUGUGGGGUGCUCGAGUGGCGAACGGGGGAGUAACACGUGAGUAACCUGCCCUUGACUUUGGGAUAACUUCAGGGAACUGGGGCGAAUACCGGGUAGGAGCUCCUGCUGCAUGGUGGGGGUUGGAAAGUUGCGGCGGUUGGGGAUGGACUCGCGGUGUAUCGGCUUGUUGGUGGGGAAGUGGCUUACCAAGGCUUUGAUGCGUCGCCGGCCUGAGAGGGUGACCGGCCACACUGAGACUGCGACACGGCCCAGACUCCUACGGGAGGCAGCAGUAGGGAAUCUUGCGCAAUGGGCGCGACCCUGACCGAGCAACGCCGCGUGAGUGAAGAAGGUUUUCGGAUCGUAAAGCUCUGUUGUAAGUCAAGAACGGGUUUGCGAGUGGAAAGUUCACACUGUGACGGUAGCUUACCAGAAAGGGACGGCUAACUACGUG
rnacentral:rRNA from 1 species